rnacentral:rRNA from 1 species
CAGUUCGGAUUGUAGGCUGCAGCUCGCCUACAUGAAGUUGGAAUCGCUAGUAAUCGCGAAUCAGAAUGUCGCGGUGAAUACGUUCCCGGGUCUUGUACACACCGCCCGUCACACCACGGGAGCCGGUAAUACCCGAAGUCAGUAGUCCAACCACGUGAGGACGCUGCCGAAGGUAGGAUUGGCGACUGGGGUGAAGUCGUAACAAGGUAGC